GAUGAACGCUGGCGGCGUGCCUAACACAUGCAAGUCGAACGAGGUAAAUAAGAGGAAGUUUUCGGAUGGAAUCGUAUUUACCGAGUGGCGGACGGGUGAGUAACGCGUGGAUAACCUGCCUCAUACAGGGGGAUAACAGUUAGAAAUGACUGCUAAUACCGCAUAAGCGCACAGUGCCGCAUGGUACGGUGUGAAAAACUCCGGUGGUAUGAGAUGGAUCCGCGUCUGAUUAGCUAGUUGGCGGGGUAACGGCCCACCAAGGCGACGAUCAGUAGCCGACCUGAGAGGGUGACCAGCCACAUUGGGACUGAGACACGGCCCAAACUCCUACGGGAGGCAGCAGUGGGGGAUAUUGCACAAUGGGGGAAACCCUGAUGCAGCGACGCCGCGUGAGUGAAGAAGUAUUUCGGUAUGUAAAGCUCUAUCAGCAGGGAAGAAAAUGACGGUACCUGACUAAGAAGCCCCGGCUAACUACGUGCCAGCCGCCGCCGUAA
rnacentral:rRNA from 1 species